rnacentral:rRNA from 1 species
AGUGGCAGACGGGUGAGUAACAUGUGGGUAUCUACCCUUUGGCCUGGAAUAACACGAGGAAACUUGUGCUAAUACCGGAUAAGUCUUUACGGAGAAAGCUUUAUGCACCAAUGGAUGAGCCCGCACUAGAUUAGUUUGUUGGUGGGGUAAUAGCCUACCAAGACUAUGAUCUAUAGCUGAUUUGAGAGGAUGAUCAGCCACAUUGGGACUGAGACACGGCCCAAACUCCUACGGGAGGCAGCAGUGGGGAAUCUUGCACAAUGGAGGAAACUCUGAUGCAGCGAUGCCGCGUGAGUGAAGAAGGCCCUUGGGUUGUAAAGCUCUUUCGUCGGGGAAGAAAAUGACUGUACCCGAAUAAGAAGGUCCGGCUAACUUCGUGCCAGCAGCCGCGGUAAUACGAAGGGACCUAGCGUAGUUCGGAUUUACUGGGCUUAAAGAGUUCGUAGGUGGUUGAAAAAGUUGGUGGUGAAAUCCCAGAGCUUAACUCUGGAACUGCCAUCAAAACUUUUCAGCUAGAGUAUGAUAGAGGAAAGCAGAAUUUCUAGUGUAGAGGUGAAAUUCGUAGAUAUUAGAAAGAAUACCAAUUGCGAAGGCAGCUUUCUGGAUCAUUACUGACACUGAGGAACGAAAGCAUGGGUAGCGAAGAGGAUUAGAUACCCUCGUAGUCCAUGCCGUAAACGAUGUGUGUUAGACGUUGGA